GGCGCACGAAGAGGCGGGAGGUGCAGUGUCCCGGUAUGGAAGGUGAUCGCAGCGUGGGGGAUGUGGCAGCCUCAGCUCGGCAGCGCGGGGCUGGGUGGCUUCAUGUUUUGGGAUUUGCUCAACCCGUGGCCUGCCUGCCAGAUAGACCUAAGGAAUUACUUGUUUAGUGGAAAAGGCUGGGAGUUUAUGAGCCCCUGUCCCUGUUGAAGGAAUUCGAUUUGUUUUCCUUAAGGUCCGAACCGUGGGGAUGCCGUUACAUGGAGCGCGUGUGAGUAGAGCGUGGAGCUGAGGUGAGCCAGUCCCUGGGGGUCUCAGUGCUGCGGUGCAAGACUUAAGUCCCUCCCGGCUUUCUCCAGGAGCAGGAGCUCUGCGCAGCAAGAUCCAGGCUCCUUCCCGAGCCGUGAGCUCCCCCAGGUGGGAACAGCCACUCCAGGUGCUGCUCAAGCUCCUGCUUAAACACAGAAGGGAAGAAAACUCCUUCUGUGGAGUUUCUCAGGAGCAGAGCUUGGGGAGGGGUCCGGAUAUAAAACAUUUUGAUGGUGAAUAAACACAACAGUCACUUGAAAUCCUU